GACGAACGCUGGCGGCGUGCUUAACACAUGCAAGUCGAACGGUUAAGCGCCUUCCUUUUUGGUUGUUGUGGCUGAUUGGCGAACGGUGGGGUAACACUUGAGUAACCUGCCCCCUUCUUCUGGUUAACCUCAUGAAAGUGUGGCAAAUACGGGUUAUUCUUGGUCUGUCGCAUGAUGGGUCUGGGAAAGAUAUUGUUUCGUUGGGGGAUGGGCUCGCGGCCUAUCAUCUUGUUGGUGGGGUGAUGGCCUACCAAGGCGGUGCAGGGUCGACGGCCUGAGAGGGUGGACGGUAACACGGGGAAUGCGACACGGAAAAGACUCCUAGGGGAGGCAGUAGUGGGGAAUAUUGCACAAUGGGAGCAAGGCUGAUGCAGCGACGCGGCGUGAGGGAUGGAGGCCUUCGGGUUGUGAACCUCUUUCGCAAGUGAAGCAGGCCUGGCUUGUUUGUGGGUGGGUUGACGGUAGCUGGAUAAGAAGCGCCGGCUAACUACGUG
rnacentral:rRNA from 1 species